rnacentral:rRNA from 1 species
AUUGCCCUAGUAACGGCGAGUGAAGCGGCAACAGCUCAAAUUUGAAAUCUGGCCCUCGGGUCCGAGUUGUAAUUUGUAGAGGAUGUUUUUGGUGCGGUGCCUUCCGAGUUCCCUGGAACGGGACGCCAUAGAGGGUGAGAGCCCCGUCUGGUUGGACGCCAAUCCUAUGUAAAACUCCUUCGACGAGUCGAGUAGUUUGGGAAUGCUGCUCUAAAUGGGAGGUAUAUGUCUUCUAAAGCUAAAUAUUGGCCAGAGACCGAUAGCGCACAAGUAGAGUGAUCGAAAGAUGAAAAGCACUUUGAAAAGAGAGUUAAAAAGCACGUGAAAUUGUUGAAAGGGAAGCGCUUAUGACCAGACUUGGACUUGGUUGAUCAUCCGGCGUUCUCGCCGGUGCACUCUUCCGGUUCAGGCCAGCAUCAGUUUGCUUCGGGGGAUAAAGGCUUUGGGAAUGUGGCUCCCUCGGGAGUGUUAUAGCCCAUUGUGUAAUACCCUGGAGCGGACUGAGGUACGCGUUCUGCAAGGAUGCUGGCGUAAUGGUCAUCAGUGACCCGUCUUGAAACACGGACCAAGGAGUCGUCUUCGUAUGCGAGUGUUCGGGUGUUAAACCCCUACGCGUAAUGAAAGUGAACGCAGGUGAGAGCUUCGGCGCAUCAUCGACCGAUCCUGAUGUUCUCGGAUGGAUUUGAGUAAGAGCAUACGGGGCCGGACCCGAAAGAAGGUGAACUAUGCCUGUGUAGGGUGAAGCCAGAGGAAACUCUGGUGGAGGCUCGCAGCGGUUCUGACGUGCAAAUCGAUCGUCAAACAUGGGCAUGGGGGCGAAAGACUAAU